rnacentral:rRNA from 1 species
CUACGUAGGGAGCGAGCGUUGUCCGGAAUUACUGGGUGUAAAGGGAGCGUAGGCGGGAGUGCAAGUCAGAUGUGAAAUACAUGGGCUCAACCCAUGGGCUGCAUUUGAAACUGCAUUUCUUGAGUGAAGUAGAGGUAAGCGGAAUUCCUGGUGUAGCGGUGAAAUGCGUAAAUAUCAGGAGGAACACCGGUGGCGAAGGCGGCUUACUGGGCUUUUACUGACGCUGAGGCUCGAAAGCGUGGGGAGCAAACAGGAUUAGAUACCCUGGUAGUCCACGCUGUAAACGAUGAUUACUAGGUGUGGUGGGACUGACCCCUUCUGUGCCGCAGUUAACACAAUAAGUAAUCCACCUGGGGAGUACGGCCGCAAGGUUGAAACUCAAAUGAAUUGGCGGGG